rnacentral:lncRNA from 1 species
UCAGAGUACGGCUAACGGAAAGUUCACCAUCGCAUGAAACAUCGCAGAAUUUACAAGACACACAGACUAACACAACUAGUUCUGAUGGGGAUGCUUGCAGUUCGAAUCCAUGCUUGCACGGGACAUGCUUUGGAAAUGGGACAGAAUACCAUUGCUUUUGUCUUUCUGGAUUCACUUGGACAAAUUGCGAAACAACUCUAGAUGCAUGUAGCACUAAUCCCUGUCUGAGGGGUAUAUGCCUCCAUCAUCACGCAGACUAUUAUUGUGUUUGUCCCUCGGGGUACACUGGUAAAAACUGUGAUUCAACUAUAAACGCAUGUGAAUCUUAUCCGUGUGAGAGAGGCCUUUGCUAUCACUAUCACACACAAUUCCGGUGUGUCUGCCCUCCAGGCUACUCUGGCAAUCA